rnacentral:rRNA from 1 species
UGACGUCAAGUCCUCAUGGCCCGUUAUGGGUAGGGCUUCACACGUCAUACAAUGGUCGGUAACAGAGGGUUGCCAACCCGCGAGGGGGAGCUAAUCCCACAAAGCCGAUCGUAGUCCGGAUCGCAGUCUGCAACUCGACUGCGUGAAGUCGGAAUCGCUAGUAAUCGUGGAUCAGCAUGUCACGGUGAAUACGUUCCCGGGUCUU